GAUGAACGCUGCGGCGUGCCUAACACAUGCAAGUCGAACGGGGUUCUAUAUCGGAAGUUUUCGGAUGGAAGAGAUAGGACCCAGUGGCGGACGGGUGAGUAACACGUGGGUAACCUGCCUCAUAGAGGGGGAUAACAGAGAGAAAUCACUGCUAAUACCGCAUAAGCACACGGGAUCGCAUGAUCCAGGGUGAAAAGAUUUAUCGCUAUGAGAUGGACUCGCGUCUGAUUAGCUGGUUGGCGGGGUAAAGGCCCACCAAGGCGACGAUCAGUAGCCGAUCUGAGAGGAUGGCCGGCCACAUUGGGACUGAGACACGGCCCAGACUCCUACGGGAGGCAGCAGUGGGGGAUAUUGCACAAUGGAGGGAACUCUGAUGCAGCAACGCCGCGUGAGUGAAGAAGUAUUUCGGUAUGUAAAGCUCUAUCAGCAGGGAAGAUGAUGACAGUACCUGAAUAAGGGGCCGGCUAA
rnacentral:rRNA from 1 species